AAAAGUAAUUGAGCUGGAGAAAUCAUAUGUAAAAUAGACUCUUGUCCAUAAAGGCUCCAUAAUUAUUUGGUAAAAUCAUCCAUUUGAAGCAAGUGAUCAUAGAGCAAAAAAUAUAUAAUGAUGAAAUUGAUUGGCUAACCACCCAUCCAACCAACUCCUACCCCCUUUCACCCUAAGAUAAAAUGGGGAGAAAGAAUGUAUUUAUACUUCACAAUUUCUUAUAUAUAGGUAAUUAAUUAGUUGGAGGAAAAAAAAAAAGAAGAAAUUUUGGUCAAAAGAUAAUAUUAUUUUAUUAUAUAUAUUAUAAUAAAAUUAUGUCUUCGUCACUGAAUCCCGCUAAGGCCAGGCAACAGAAUGGGAUGUAUCGAUAUCGAUUUUGCUAUUGUCGUGGUUCGUUUCAGUUCGAUUGUCUACGGGAUGAAAAGGAAUAUUCUAAAUCGGGACAUAGAACGGCACAUUAUCGAGGUUUGAUACCGGUGUACCGUACUGAUUUAUUUCAAUUUCGAUCAAGUUCUAAUUAACUAAUAUUUUAUCUUAAAUAAUAAAUACUAUCCAAAUAACUCAACUGCUCCUUAUAAGUAUUACAUUCGAUACUUGGUUGAAACAUAACCCUUCCUAAAAGGUGGUUGUGUAAACUAUGCACUCUACUGAUAGUUGUAAAUUGAGUUUGUAAUUUGUAAUCCAAAGUUAAUUAAAUCAAAUUAAUAUUUUUUAAUUUUUUGUAA